CUACGGGGCCUGCAGUGGGGAAUACUGCACAAUGGAGGAAACUCUGAUGCAGCAACGCCGCGUGGAGGAUGACACUUUUCGGAGCGUAAACUCCUUUUAUAUAGGAAGAAGAUGACGGUACUAUAUGAAUAAGCGCCGGCUAACUCCGUGCCAGCAGCCGCGGUAAUACGGAGGGCGCAAGCGUUACUCGGAAUCACUGGGCGUAACGAGCGUGUAGGCGGAUUAAAAAGUCAGAAGUGAAAUCCUAUAGCUUAACUAUAGAACUGCUUCUGAAACUCUUAAUCUAGAAUAUGGGAGAGGUAGAUGGAAUUGCUGGUGUAGGGGUAAAAUCCGUAGAGAUCAGAAGGAAUACCGAUUGCGAAGGCGAUCUACUAGAACAUUAUUGACGCUGAGACGCGAAAGCGUGGGGAGCAAACAGGAUUAGAUACCCGCGUAGUC
rnacentral:rRNA from 1 species